rnacentral:rRNA from 1 species
UCGAGCGAGUUGAGAGAGCUUGCUCUCGAAGCUAGCGGCGAACGGUCGCGUAACACGUAAGCAACCUGCCCCGAAGACCGGGACAACAUUCCGAAAGGAGUGCUAAUACCGGAUGUGGCCACUUUUGGACAUCCAGAGGUGAUUAAAGCGCACUAGCAAUAAUGGUGGCUUCGGGAGGGGCUUGCGGCCUAUCAGCUAGUUGGUGGGGUAACGGCCUACCAAGGCGACGACGGGUAGCGGGUCUGAGAGGACGAUCCGCCGGACUGGGACUGAGAUACGGCCCAGACUCCUACGGGGGGCAGCAAUUAGGAAUCUUGCACAAUGGGGGAAACCCUGAUGCAGCGACGCCGCGUGAGGGAGGAAGUCCUUCGGGAUGUAAACCUCUUUUAUCGGGGAAGAAACAAAUGACGGUACCCGAUGAAUAAGCUCCGGCUAACUACGUGCCAGCAGCCGCGGUAAUACGUAGGGAGCGAGCGUUGUCCGAAGUUACUGGGCGUAAAGCGCGCGUAGGCGGGCUGUUAAGUGAGAGGUGAAAGGCUGGGGCUCAACCCCAUGCAGUGCCUCUCAUACUGGCGGUCUUGAGUGCGGCAGAGAGAAGUGGAAUGGCUGGUGUAGCGGUGAAAUGCGUAGAUAUCAGUCGGAACACCGGUGGCGAAGGCGGCUUCUUGGGCCUUUACUGACGCUGAGGCGCGAAAGCUGGGGGAGCGAACGGGAUUAGAUACCCCGGUAGUCCCAGCCGUAAACGAUGGAUACUAGGUGUCGGGGGUAUCGAC